UGCAGGAAUUAACGAGAUAAUUUUGCGGAAGCAACUAUCCAGUGUCUCGCUUCAACAGACCUCAGAUUGUUUACCACGAACAGUUUGAGGUGCGAUCCAAUAACAACCACUGUCAUGAGCAAUUACAACAAAUCAAGGAUUCAAUCGGCUAAAAACCAGCGUAGCAGCGAUCGCCUAACCCCCCUGGAUAUUUUUCGUUGGGUGUCAGAUUAACUGCUCCAGUUCUGGCUAAGACUGCUGGCAUUGAGGCACCCAAGUCAGC
rnacentral:misc_RNA from 1 species